GGAAUAGCCAAGCGGUAAGGCAACGGACUUUGACUCCGUGAUUCGUAGGUUCGAUCCCUACUUC
rnacentral:tRNA from 1 species